rnacentral:tRNA from 1 species
GCGGGGGUGUCCGAGCAAGGUCUAAGGAGCCGGACUUAAGAUCUACCAAAGAUAGGGCAUCCGGUGGCCAUAGGGCCUCCGUGGGUUCAAAUCCCACCCCCCGCA